GACAUGUACGGAAUCCUUUAGAGAUAGAGGAGUGCUCGAAAGAGAGCCGUAACACAGGUGCUGCAUGGCUGUCGUCAGCUCGUGUCGUGAGAUGUUGGGUUAAGUCCCGCAACGAGCGCAACCCUUGCCAUUAGUUGCUACGAAAGGGCACUCUAAUGGGACUGCCGGUGACAAACCGGAGGAAGGUGGGGAUGACGUCAAGUCCUCAUGGCCCUUAUAGGUGGGGCUACACACGUCAUACAAUGGCUGGUACAAAGGGUUGCCAACCCGCGAGGGGGAGCUAAUCCCAUAAAGCCAGUCGUAGUCCGGAUCGCAGUCUGCAACUCGACUGCGUGAAGUCGGAAUCGCUAGUAAUCGUGGAUCAGAAUGUCACGGUGAAUACGUUCCCGGGUCUUGUACACACCGCCCGUCACACCAUGGGAGCGGGUCUCGCCAGAAGUAGGUAGCCUAACCGUAAGGAGGGCGCUUACCACGGCGGGGUUCGUGACUGGGGUGAAGUCGUAACAAGGUAGGCGUAGAUGA
rnacentral:rRNA from 1 species